GUUAACUGAUGAACUCUGACAGCCCAGGUUAAAGGGUUAACUGAUGAACUCUGACAGCCCAGGUUAAAGGGUUAACUGAUGAACUCUGACAGCCCAGGUUAAAGGGUUAACUGAUGAACUCUGACAGCCCAGGUUAAAGGGUUAACUGAUGAACUCUGACAGCCCAGGUUAAAGGGUUAACUGAUGAACUCUGACAGCCCAGGUUAAAGGGUUAACUGAUGAACUCUGACAGCCCAGGUUAAAGGGUUAACUGAUGAACUCUGACAGCCCAGGUUAAAGGGUUAACUGAUGAACUCUGACAGCCCAGGUUAAAGGGUUAACUGAUGAACUCUGACAGCCCAGGUUAAAGGGUUAACUGAUGAACUCUGACAGCCCAGGUUAAAGGGUUAACUGAUGAACUCUGACAGCCCAGGUUAAAGGGUUAACUGAUGAACUCUGACAGCCCAGGUUAAAGGGUUAACUGAUGAACUCUGACAGCCCAGGUUAAAGGGUUAACUGAUGAACUCUGACAGCCCAGGUUAAAGGGUUAACUGAUGAACUCUGACAGCCCAGGUUAAAGGGUUAACUGAUGAACUCUGACAGCCCAGGUUAAAGGGUUAACUGAUGAACUCUGACAGCCCAGGUUAAAGGGUUAACUGAUGAACUCUGACAGCCCAGGUUAAAGGGUUAACUGAUGAACUCUGACAGCCCAGGUUAAAGGGUUAACUGAUGAACUCUGACAGCCCAGGUUAAAGGGUUAACUGAUGAACUCUGACAGCCCAGGUUAAAGGGUUAACUGAUGAACUCUGACAGCCCAGGUUAAAGGGUUAACUGAUGAACUCUGACAGCCCAGGUUAAAGGGUUAACU